AUUGAACGCUGGCGGCAGGCCUAACACAUGCAAGUCGAGCGGAUGAAGGGAGCUUGCUCCUGGAUUCAGCGGCGGACGGGUGAGUAAUGCCUAGGAAUCUGCCUGGUAGUUGGGGAUAACGUCCGGAAACGGGCGCUAAUACCGCAUACGUCCUGAGGGAGAAAGUGGGGGAUCUUCGGACCUCACGCUGUCAGAUGAGCCUAGGUCGGAUUAGCUAGUUGGUGGGGUAAAGGCCUACCAAGGCGACGAUCCGUAACUGGUCUGAGAGGAUGAUCAGUCACACUGGAACUGAGACACGGUCCAGACUCCUACGGGAGGCAGCAGUGGGGAAUAUUGGACAAUGGGCGAAAGCCUGAUCCAGCCAUGCCGCGUGUGUGAAGAAGGUCUUCGGAUUGUAAAGCACUUUAAGUUGGGAGGAAGGGCAGUAAGUUAAUACCUUGCUGUUUUGACGUUACCAACAGAAUAAGCACCGGCUAACUUCGUG
rnacentral:rRNA from 1 species